CGCUCGAAGAUGACGAGAUGGACCACCUCGUCGACUGGGUGAGGAGCCUCGGAUGAUCACGUGGUGGUGCACUGCACUGGCCCGACCGUGGACCUGGGAGUGGAUCCCAUAUCCGGGAAUUUGGGCUGCGGCCAUCCUUCCCAUGGUGGCCUACGGGCGGUCGGUCCACCGACAUGACGGUCCCACCGACUGGAAAAAGGUCGCCCAGUUCAUGGCCGGCGUCGUUGUGUUUUGGAUCGCCUCCGAUUGGCCCAUAGGGACUCUGGGUG
rnacentral:misc_RNA from 1 species